rnacentral:rRNA from 1 species
UACGGGGGGGGCAAGCGUUUGUUCGGAAUUACUGGGCGUAAAGGGCUUGUAGGUGGCCAACUAAGUCAGACGUGAAAUCCCUCGGCUUAACCGGGGAACUGCGUCUGAUACUGGAUGGCUUGAGUGGUGGGAGGAGGAUGCGGAAUUCCAGGUGUAGCGGUGAAAUGCGUAGAUAUCUGGAGGAACACCGGUGGCGAAGGCGGCAUCCUGGACCAUUACUGACACUGAAAAGCGAAAGCCAGGGGAGCAAACGGG